CCGGGAUUAUGGAUGGGAUUCUCCAGGAAAGUUCUGGGUAAGAUGCUUUUGCCUAAUAGAAUGAAUGCCCAUGAAAUACAUCGGAGACCCACAAAGUUUUGAGAAUAUUAUAAAGCAGAAAUAUUGCCAGCUUAGAAGGAAAAUGGGGGAAUGACCUAACAAAAUAAAAGAAAACUUCUGGGCUCCCAAAAUUCUACAGGUAGAAUAUAGGCUAAUAAAUCUACUGCAUUGCAAACAUGUAUAAUCCUUCAAGAAAAAGAAAGGUUGAUUCUGAGGGCUGAGCUUUGGACCCACAGUGUGAAGACAAUAAGCCACAGAGAAUUAUUCCCAAUUCUUGCAUCAUAAUGGAAUGUACCCUGCUGGACUUUUUAAAGUACUCUGAACUGGUGACACUUUUCUUCCUUGUGUUUUCUCCCAUGUGGCAUAAGGAUAUUCUAGAAUGGCUAGCCUAUGCUCCUGCUACCACUGCAUUUUGGAAAGUAGACAAUGUUUCUACUUUCAAAGACAAUGCCUGCAGAGGCAGGAGAAAACAACACUUCAGUUCCUCGCCUGCUCUUGCCUCAGUGAAUUUGAGCCAUUGAUCCAAGGGAAUCUGGACAACAAGCAAUUCUCCCUCCAACCUCCAUCUCUGCAAUAUGAAAAUCAUGUCAAAUGACGGAAAUCCAGUUCUGCAAUAACUGAAAAAUUAGAGCAUGGGGAGGGUGGGGAGAGACUUAAUUCCGAGUUUAUCAGUUUGGAUCACCCUGAAGAGGGUGCUAUAAAACUGGGGUUCACCUCUGCUCUAACCACUCCAUACCAGCUUUGCCUUAGGCCAUUUUCUGGCCCUCUACUGCC
rnacentral:lncRNA from 1 species